GGGGUAAUGGCCUACCAAGGCGACGACGGGUAGCCGGCCUGAGAGGGCGACCGGCCACACUGGGACUGAGACACGGCCCAGACUCCUACGGGAGGCAGCAGUGGGGAAUAUUGCACAAUGGGCGAAAGCCUGAUGCAGCGACGCCGCGUGAGGGAUGACGGCCUUCGGGUUGUAAACCUCUUUCAGCAGGGAAGAAGCGCAAGUGACGGUACCUGCAGAAGAAGCACCGGCUAACUACGUGCCAGCAGCCGCGGUAAUACGUAGGGUGCGAGCGUUGUCCGGAUUUAUUGGGCGUAAAGAGCUCGUAGGCGGCCUGUCGCGUCGGAUGUGAAAGCCCGGGGCUUAACUCCGGGUCUGCAUUCGAUACGGGCAGGCUAGAGUGUGGUAGGGGAGAUCGGAAUUCCUGGUGUAGCGGUGAAAUGCGCAGAUAUCAGGAGGAACACCGGUGGCGAAGGCGGAUCUCUGGGCCAUUACUGACGCUGAGGAGCGAAAGCGUGGGGAGCGAACAGGAUUAGAUACCCUGGUAGUCCACGCCGUAAACGUUGGGAACUAGGUGUGGGUCACAUUCCACGUGGUCCGCGUCGCAGCUAACGCAUUAAGUUCCCCGCCUGGGGAGUACGGCCGCAAGGCUAAAACUCAAAGGAAUUGACG
rnacentral:rRNA from 1 species